GAGUGAAGAAGGUUUUCGGAUCGUAAAACUCUGUUGUUGGAGAAGAAUGUAUCUGAUAGUAACUGAUCAGGUAGUGACGGUAUCCAACCAGAAAGCCACGGCUAACUACGUGCCAGCAGCCGCGGUAAUACGUAGGUGGCAAGCGUUGUCCGGAUUUAUUGGGCGUAAAGCGAGCGCAGGCGGUUUCUUAAGUCUGAUGUGAAAGCCUUCGGCUCAACCGAAGAAGUGCAUCGGAAACUGGGAAACUUGAGUGCAGAAGAGGACAGUGGAACUCCAUGUGUAGCGGUGAAAUGCGUAGAUAUAUGGAAGAACACCAGUGGCGAAGGCGGCUGU
rnacentral:rRNA from 2 species